UACAGAGGGUGCAAGCGUUGUUCGGAAUUACUGGGCGUAAAGCGCGUGUAGGCGGCGGCGUAAGUCGGGUGUGAAAUCCCUCAGCUCAACCUAGGAAGUCGCACUGAAACUGCGGGGAUCGAGGGCUGGAGAGGGAAGCGGAAUUCUCGGUGUAGAGGUGAAAUUCGUAGAUAUCGAGAGGAACACCGGUGGCGAAGGCGGCUUCCUGGACAGUUACUGACGCUGAGACGCGAAAGGCGGUGGGGAGCAAACAGG
rnacentral:rRNA from 1 species